rnacentral:lncRNA from 1 species
GUAAAAAGCAUGAAAGUUUCUAAAAAUGUGCAGCUGCUAUUCUGAAAAUUCCAGUAAUGUGAAUAGGCUGUCAUGACACUUUGAGGGAGUCUCUGAUAAGAUUGAAGUCACAAUGUGAAACUGUUGAUUUGAACCCAAAAGGGGACAAAACAUGGGCCUGAAGUCAGCAACUGUACCAUACUCCGGACUUGAAGCUAGAAACUAAAAGUAUAUGCACAUUGCCAGCCAGAUCUUUACCCUGCUUCUGACCAAGCUUCUGGAACGUGUGCUUCAAAUUGCAUGCUCCUGGACAAUGGCACAGCAUGGUGUUUUCACUGAGGAAACAUUCUCCUCAACCAGAAAAGUACACUUUGUUGCUCGAAGGAGUAAAGGUAAGACCUUGACUUAUAAAUAACCUACAUGACUUUAAAACAACCUGCACUUUUAUGUAUUCCAAUAUGAUGACCCCAGUUUGCAGACUCUGAACUUCUACUUAUCACCUGGUGAACACACAUUCAGAGGUAUCUCCUGCUGACGUACUGGCCAACCAACAUACCCUUUACUUAUUUGUUUAAAAGAAUUUUUUUUAAUGUUUAUUUAUUUUUGAGAGACACAGAGAGAGAGAGAGAGUGAGAGAGAGAGAACGAGCUGGGGAAGAGCAGAGAGAGGGAGACAGAAUCCAAAGCAGGCUCCAGGCUCUGAGCUGUCAGCACAGAGCCUGACGCGGGGCUCGAACCCACAAACUGUGAGAUCAUGACCUGUGCCAAAGUCGGACACUUGACUGACUGAGCCACCCAGGGGCCCUUCAACACAGUACUUUAAACUAAGCUGCUUUCGUGUUUGUUUGUUUGUUUGUCUUCAGAAAUGUUCAUAAAACUCUGAAUUGAUUGCUUUAUUAUAUUUUGUCAUUGUUUUAAAUAAUUAGUAACAGAAAAGCGAUACUAGCCAUAUGACAAUUGUAGCCGCUGCAAAUAAUUAGCUGUGACCAGGGGUUUAGCUUCAGUUGUAAGCAAGUACUUUUGACCUAAGUCUGUCAGGUAUGUAUUAACUUCCGAGGGAAAUUUAAAG